rnacentral:rRNA from 1 species
CUUGCUAGAGAGGAAAGUGGCGGACGGGUGAGUAAAAUGUAGAGAAUCUGCCCUUGAGCGGGGGACAACAGUUGGAAACGACUGCUAAUACCCCAUAUGAGCGUACCUGAGAUGGUAUUCUUGAAAACUCCGGUGCUCGAGGAUGAGUCUGCAUCUGAUUAGCUAGUUGGCGGGGUAAUGGCCCACCAAGGCGACGAUCAGUAGCUGGUUUGAGAGGAUGAUCAGCCACAAUGGGACUGAGACACGGCCCAUACUCC